rnacentral:rRNA from 1 species
UACGUAGGGCGCAAGCGUUGUCCGGAAUUAUUGGGCGUAAAGAGCUCGUAGGCGGUUUGUCGCGUCUGGUGUGAAAACCCGAGGCUCAACCUCGGGCUGGCAUCGGGUACGGGCAGACUAGAGUGCGGUAGGGGAGACUGGAAUUCCUGGUGUAGCGGUGGAAUGCGCAGAUAUCAGGAGGAACACCGAUGGCGAAGGCAGGUCUCUGGGCCGCAACUGACGCUGAGGAGCGAAAGCAUGGGGAGCGAACAGG